CCAUCUGUCACACAUUUUGUCAUUGGGCAGGAGACAUCAAUUCAUGCUACUAACUUCAUUCUACGCAAGGUCACUAUCAAAGCUGCCCCGUACCACCGGAAGCUAUGGGGUCGGGAGAGAGCACGACCCGAAAAGUGUCUUUUGGUGUCGACGACGAGGACAGAGUCCGGAUUCUACGCGGAGUGAAGCUGUCAGAAGAUGUUCUCCAGAGGAUGAGAGGAGUGGCCAACAUUGCCCCAGAACCCACAUUUUUACCAACCUCAAGCCCUCAGAAAGACACAGGUGUUCCUCGCAGCGCCAGCUCAGGGUCAGGACCCCCGCCGGGCCCUCAGCACCAGGGCCAACCCGGUACCCAGUCCAGCACUAGCAAACCAGCCUCCUUUGCCAAGGAAGAACAGAAAAGGUAUGAACGCCAGAAGACACUACUGAAGGAGGAAUGGGUCAAAGUGGCGCAAAGAGAGAGGGAGGCGGCAAGGGAGGAGAUGACUAAAGCCAUGACCCAGGAAAGGCAACAAAAACGCCAGGAAGCCGAGAACGCCAAACAUCUGGCUCAGCAGCUUCAGAAGAAAGAUUUACAGCUGAAAGCAUUGGAUAACUUCUACAAGGAGCAGCUGACACAGCUGGAGAAAAGGAAUUUGGAGAGAUACGAGCAGAGCAAGGACGAAUUCCACCAAGCCGCCUCCAAGACGGAAGAAAGCGUGAGGUCUCGCAAUACCGACCCGGUGUGUCUUGGCCUGCAGGCUCAGAUCUUAUCUUGCUACAGGGACAACAGAGACCAGACCCUAAGGUGCUCCGACCUGGCCAAAGAAUACAUGCGGUGUAUCAAUGCUGCCAAGAAGAUGCAGCGUGCAGCACGCAGACAAACUAAAAGAGAUAUCUGAUGCGAGUAUCAGAGCUCGCUGGAGGAACCGCGGUGGCUGUCACGCACUCUGCCUUCUGCAGUCACAUCAGCCGUCAUCUCCAUCACCUGAACAGAAAGGAACGACGUCUGGAAAUAGAGCCGCUGACAGCGCUCGCUCAGUCCCACCGGUCCCUCGUCGUCGCUCCUAAUCAUAAUGACAUAAGAUGAGUAAAUAAAUAAAUAUAUUGUAUUCACUUAUCAAACUUCCUUUUUUAAAAAAAAAAAAAAAUGCUAUCCAGGGUUGUGGGGACGCUGAUUGUCGCAAUCAUUUUGAAAGCAAUCUGUGUGAUUGCUGUAAACACUCAUAAAAGGAAGAAUUAGGAGGUAACGAGUGUCCGGGGAUCCCUUCCUCCACCAGCACUUUGAUUUCUGUGUCAAAGCAAUUAUUUUUCUCUUUCUUCCUCUCGGUAGUUUAUUCGCUGCAGAGAACCACUGAUCAGCGAGCUCAUUUUGAUGCAUCAACAUUCAUAUGGUGCUUCGCAUUGACCAGUUAUGGUUGAAUGAGGGUUUGUAGAGGGCGGGAUGAGUGGCGGAACCAGACGCACACAUUUACACUUUAGCUGUUUGGGGAUUUACACAAGGAUAUUGCAGGCGUAUUGCAAGGUUUUAUGAAUCAGAAUUUUCUUUGGGCUUCCGUGCAUUUUCUCCUUUCAACGUACGCAAACAUUUAGUGUUUUUAUAAUUGAGACCCCUGAAGCUUCAAACAUAUCCCUAUAUUUGUAUAAGUAGGUAAAGUUUGCCCAGUUGUCAUGGAGAAUUGUAGAAAAUGGCCUUGUCAGCCUUGGAAAUGACAUAUGAUCUCAAAGGCCAUUUUUACGGAGAACAGAUCUGUGUUCAGAGAUGUGUAUUCAUAAAUACUCUCUCAGUUUAGGUUUUGAACCAUCUUCAAAGCACUAUCAUUUUCUUAUUCUAGAAAGCAAAGGAGGUUUUAUUUCCUUUUUUUUUUUGAAUUGUACAUCUACAUAUUUGUGGAGGUUUAUUUAAAAGGAGAUAUUUAUGUACUUUAUUUAAAUCUUGAACGUUACAGCCACAGUGCAAGACGCAAGGGACUCACUGACACAUGGAGGGCCGCAUCUACAGAUCAGCCAUAUUGUUUUGUUGUUUUUUAAGGCAUUUCUUUGGUCUCUAACCACCCUGCUAACAACCCUCUCCAGCGACAUUAUUUUUAAUACACAGAUUGCGAUUCUCAAGUGUCAACUACCUCCGGUACUAGAGCAUUUAGUGAGGUUAAUCUCAUCAAAUUUUAAUGAAUAUUUUUUUCAAGGAGAAAAGUAUUUGCGUUUGUCAUUCUUUCAUCCAUAAACACCUCCUUCUUGUCCCCAGUAAAGAGUGGAUGAGAGGAGAACAGGUGAUAUGUCGGGGCAAAAGAAUGGGAAGAGAAGGGAAGGUGAGGAGAGGAAAUCAGAGGGAUGAGAUGAGAGGACGGAAGAGGCGGGCCGUAUUGAUCACCCUGCUCUACUUUUAACCGAGACAAUCACAGAAAGGAGGACCGAGCGCCGGGUGCGUAGAGAGCGUGACAGAGACGGGAAGAGAGGAAGAUGGACUUAACGCAACACAUUUCUAACCUGCUGGUCAACCACGGAUGAUGAGAGGGAGGAAAAGGUCAUCCGACGUCGGCUUUUACUUUGGCACUAAGAGCGGCACUCGCCGUGUUCCCGUUUUAAAAUUAUGAGAGAGUGGCUUUUCUGUUCGCAUGCUUUGUUUUAAAAACAUUCUCAUAAUGGUAUUUAUCUGCAGUGUCAUCCAGUACAGAGUGCUCUGUUUAUUUUUGCACUGCUACAUUUUACUAGGAAGCUUUUGAAAGAGAAAUGAGUGUGCUUUCAAUUCCCGUCAUUCACAUGUUCAGGGUUUCUAAGACUGUAAAGAUCCAUUCAGGGUCAGUCCUCCAUUUUCUGAAAUUCAGUCAAUGUCCUCUGCUUCCUUUGUUGGGAUGAAACAAGGAAAUCAGGACUGUCCUGGUUUUGGUGACUGAAAAAAACAGAAGUAAUUAGUUUUCUUGUUUUUGAGCUUCAUAUUUUUUCUUUAAACAACACAGGAGUAAAAGCUCACGCUGGAUUUAGGCCAUGUCCUAAAUCCAUCAGACCUGUAGUGUAUGAAUUUAUUAAACGCUUCAUAUCCUGUGA